UGAUGGGUGAAGUGGUUUAUUUGUUUUGCGAGAUAUUAGCAUUGAUUCGGAUUUUGAGGGAUUUAAGCAUACUAACCAUUUGUCUGCCCAGCUAGAAAGUUUAUCAAUGUCUGAUUGCAAUACGACUGCAGUUUCGUUUGGCAAAUUUUCGAUCAUGAAAAGACUAGUAUCAUCAGCAAACAAAUGUAUGUGUGCUUGUAUGUCAGCGACAAUGUCAUUUAUAUAACUAGAAACAUAAGUGGACCUAAAAUAGAGCCUUGAGGGACAACGGCGAGAAUGUCAAUACGAGUUGAAUACGCUCCCGGUUUUGGCCAGUGACCUGGUCUUGGUCUUGAGAUGAGGACAGAGCAGUCUUUUGGUAAUUCAUCGCAGCGCAGAGCCACGACAACGUCGUUGGAAUACUUAUUUUAAAAGGUGUUUAUCGCUGGACCGUGGUAGUCAACUACUAUGUCCAUUGCUGUACCGAAAUCCUCUGCUUCGGUUGGAAUAAAUGCCAAGCUUGAUAAAACUAAUCGGCCAUCGGAAUCAAUUAUGUAAUCUGACUGAGGCUCCGGACUAGGUCCCCAAUACAGAUACUUGUCCGUGUCAACUCUAGAUCCUACUUUUUGUAGACUACAACAUUGUGGCAGGUUCAACAAAGUUUGUACAAGAAGAUGGUUCAAAUUUUCCAUACGCAUAUCGGAAAAGUCCAAGCCAACAUAGAUAUUCCGGUAACAUAGUUGAAGCGUAUCAUGAUCUGAUUCCAUUCCGAGAGUUGUGGACCCUUCA